GCCGAGGUGGCGGAACUGGCAGACGCGCUGCCCUCAGGAGGCAGUGGGUGUUCGGCCCGUGCGGGUUCAAAUCCCGCCCUCGGCA
rnacentral:tRNA from 1 species